rnacentral:rRNA from 1 species
AUCGAACGCUGGCGGCAGGCUUAACACAUGCAAGUCGAACGAGUAGCGGACGGGUGAGUAAUGUCUGGGAAACUGCCUGCUGGAGGGGGAUAACUACUGGAAACGGUAGCUACUAGCGCAUACCAUCGGAUGUGCCCAGAUGGGAUUAGCUGGUCGGUGGGGUAAUGGCACACCUAGGCGACGAUCCCUAGCUGGUCUGGGAGGAUGACCAGCCACACGGGAACUGAGACACGGUCCAGACUCCUACGGGAGGCAGCAGUGGGGAAUAUGGCACAAUGGGCGCAAGCCUGAUGCAGCCAUGCGGCGUGUAUGAAGAAGGCGUUCGGGUUGUAAAGUACUUUCAGCGGGGAGGCGUUACCCGCAGAAGAAGCACCGGCUAACUCCGUGCCAGCAGCCGCGGUAAUAC